rnacentral:lncRNA from 7 species
CUUCUUUCCUCAGAAGCAGAAGGCCAAGGAGCAAUGGCUUGGUCAUCACCUAUAGCGUGCAGUGCUGCAGGACACCAGCCUUGACACACUUCUCCCUUUCCUUGCUGUCCUUCACAUUGUGAAUAAGUGAACCUUCAGCCCUGCAAGCCUUGUACGCAAUUCAAAGUGCAAGAGCCAAUGCACUUGCCAUCAGAAGGACAGAGCAGGACACCUUGCGUUCUGAGGAUGUGAAGGCAAUUGAAGAAAUGGCCUUCUGCAGGCUGUCAGUGACAGAUACCAGCUCACUCACAUCGAUAAAGCUCAAUUAGCUGCCGGAGAAGGCAUCUUUUAAAAAUGUAAUGAGCUGCACCAUGGAAGAAUGGUAGACAAGUGUUAGACAAAAACAAAAUAAAGUCUUAACGUGGACAAGUAAGAAUACCACAGCAGCCACGAUGAAAUCUUUUUCUUUUAUUCUCUGCUUUUUAUUACUUUGUGCUUUUGUGAUAUAAAGACCCUUUAUUAAUCUUUAUGUUGAAAAAGAUCCCUUUUUUUUUUUUUUAUUUGUCCGGAGUUGAUCUGAUGGCUGUCAUCUCAUCAUCAUAAAAAAGCUGUCCUCUGACCUAUGAUUUCAGCACGUGUAUUUCUGAGAAUAUUCCCUGAGUCUCACCUAACACUGGAGAAUAUCAGGGAAAGAAUAUGCAGCUACUUGCCAUGUGAUGCCAUGGCUUUUGAAUUAAUAAGCAUUUAUUGAAAGGGCCGUAUCAGUGAUAAUUGAAGAGUCUGUAUCUAAAGUUUGCUCAUGAAGACUCAGGAAUAAUUAAAACAACAAGGUCUUAAUCAGUGAUAACAGAGGAGAGCAAGCUAAACUAGAAAGUGAGGAGAAAUACAUGAGUAAGAAAAGCUGUCUGGAAAUGCUUAUCAACAGAGAGGGGACCAGCUAUCAUGGAGGUGGUGGGCAUCUUGUUUCCAAUGACAUUUAAGACUUUUUAAGGAGCUGACUUCCAGCAGAGCUCAGAACUAAAAUGCCUUUAAAAAUACACCUCUGUACUCCCUAGUGUUGUUACAAUUAACGAACCAGAUGUCUGCUUAAUGAACUUCGGUCUAUUUUUGCAUAUCUCCCCAGCGUUCUCUCUGAAAGAGCAGUCAUCAAAAGCCAGCAAGUGAAAGGCCUGGCGAGGCUCUGGGAUUGUAUGGGCUCAUCAGGCUGGGCCGUUCAGAGGCAUCUGAUUCAUGCUGCUGGCUCUGGAAGCUAGCCCAAGCCCUCUCAUUUAUCUUUUCUUCCAUCGACCUCCUGCAGACCUUGCAGUUGCAUGUAUCCUAUUUCAUAUAUGGUGUGGUGUGCUGUUGUGUGGCUGUGCUGUUCUGAUGGUACUUGCAGUUUUCCUUGCUAGUGCCUGUGUUAGAAAGCAGACACAGUGUUAUUUUGAAGUCACGUGAAAACACACCUGCCUUUAAGAUGCUCAUGAAAACAAACAGAAAUAACUAGUGACAUAUUAUUUUUUUUCCUUUCAAUUUACAUAUGAUUUGGCAGGGUUUUAACCUUCAGGGAUUAAAAAACCUUUUACAUUUCCAAGAGAACAGUCACCCCCACAGGAUUCUAAUUCAGGAGAAUAAGCAUCAGCCUAAUUUUAUUCAUGUAAUUUAAUUCCAUUGGUUUCAAAGCAUUUACAUUUAAGUAAAAUCAAUUUAUAGGCUUAGAUAAUCUUAUAAGAUUCCUUUUCUCAAUGUUUAUUACUAUUUAAACUUUUCUUUUUUCCCAUAACCUGGCAUCCUCCCCUUACAAAUCAAGUAAGAGCUAUUAACAACAAGUACACUGAAGAGUAGAGAUUCUGAGGAAUAACUUCAAAGCCUUGCAAAUGCUUAAUUGCACUGAAGAGCAAGCUCUAGUAUAGACUUCAGGACUAGGUAUAUGCUUAAGUGUUAAGGAGCUGCACCUCUGGGAUGAGCCCAAGGCGGACUAAGUGUCUUUUGGAAGGCAAAGGUGUGGUGACAUCCACAGUCAUGCUUUAAAUUUGCUCAAAUUUUUGCUCAUUGAAGCAAUUUACUGAAGCCAACGAUUACAACACAAAUUUACAACACAAAAUUACAACACAAAUUACAAGCCCUACGUAUUGAGAUUCUGGUUUCUCUAAAUCUGGAUUUCUGUUUGAAUUAUUUUUGGUAGUAAUAUAAAAUCCACUGAAAUAUUAAUGUCAUGAUUUGACAGAGAAUUACAUGUGGAUAUUCUAAGAUUUUCAAAGGCUAUCACUCUUUUUUGGCUGGUAUUUUCUGUGCUAUAUUCUGAAUGCUGAUUUCUUACCUGUAGUGUAAGAUAUAGGUAUGCUGUACACUAUGUGAAAAUGGGUCCAAGUCCUAUACUUGGAGAUGAGGCUGCAGGUUCUGCUUGUCAGCUGCAGUCCUGAGGAAGACCUUGGAUGUGAACGUGAACAUAUUUAGGCAAUGCUCUGUAAUUGUGUGGUUGUAAUUUGGCAUCUCAUACAAUAUGAAGACCUACUGAUUAUUAAUGAUAGGAUUUUCUUCCUUUUGGAGAAUAUAUUGAAACACUAUUUCUAAAUAAAUUGUGUGGUAUAU